UAACUCAUAAGCCCAUACCCCCAACAAAAAGAACCCAUCAGAUUUUUUUUUUUUUAAAACCUAAGGAACCUUAACGAAAAACCGAAGAGACAAGAACAACCCAUGAUGCCCUAUCUUCUUCAACCUUCAACAACAACAAAACCCUAUGUUGAACCCUAGAUAAGUUACACCCUAAGCCGCCGCCGCGAGAUCAACACUCACUGCCAUAGCCGCCGAUUCCAGCCGCCAGUCAUCUUCAGCAUCUCUAGCCGUCUCUCCGGCCGUCACGCCGGAAUUCAACCACCUCCAUACACAAACAACCAACAACAGCCGCAUCAACACCCUCACCGCUAAGCAGCCAUCUUCAUCAACAAGAUAACUCACUCCAGCGCCCUUCUUCAUCUUCUUCACACAAUCAAACCGACAGACCCGUCGUUAACCACCAACAGCCAUCGUCACCAUCCAGCCGCCCCAACUUCAUCUUCUCUAAACCUAUCAGUUACACACAUGUGCAGAGAAACACACGGGAACACACACACACACGCAAGCACAAGCAGAAAACGAGGAAGACAGAAAAUAUUUCAAUUUCUUCGUUCAGUUUUUUUGCUUCAAACAACAGAGUCCGUUUGAAUUUGACUGCUAUUUCAGCUUGAUUCCGAGGCCCGAGGUUCGUCGAGUUCCGGCAAGCUGUUUUCGAUUUCGGUUCCGCUGGUUGUUGGGUUUUUAAAUAGUAAAACAGAUCCUUCAUUUGAGGUUCUCCCUUCAUCUCUGCUUCUUCUAUAUGAUCUGAUAUUUAUUUAAUUGAUCAUCUUAGCAAAGUUUUUAAUUCUAUAUUUGAUUUAAUUGCUCUUAAUGCUUUAACUGCUUUUAUACCCGAAGGUCUAUGUUAUCUUUUUAUACAUGUUGAUUUCAUAUUUUUGAGUAGGGCUAAAUGGUUCAAGUGAACACAGUAGGAUCUUUUCAUUUUAAUUAGAUACAUAAGUAGAUGAAUGAGUUAUGUAAUAGUAGGCUGGAAAUUUAAAAGAAGGAAGUAUAAAAUAAAAUGAGCUUUCAUGCCGGCGGGAGGAUGAUUUCAAUCAUACUUCAAUUUAGAAUACGCUUCUUUGAGUUAUUAAUUCAUGCAUGCGGCGUGUUUAGAUUGUUAGGAGUAUGUUUUAGGCCGUAAACACUCGGUAGGCAAGCCUUAGGAUUUUUAUUUGAUUUUGGUUUCGAGGUAAGAGGUUGUCCCUUAGAUAAAUUCAUACGGGGAAUGCCCCGUGGACUUUGUAAAUAUUUAACCCGGGAAUGCCCCGAAGUAAAUAUAAAUGGAGUCGUGGCAUCAUCAAUGGAGGCGUAGUAUAAGCUCGGAAGACAUACAUUUAUUUAUUUUUCUCUUUUAGGACGGGACGACUUUGAGCCUCUUGUGUGUUUAUUUUUCCUUUUCUGUGUUUGUUACCUCAAUUGAAUAUUUUAAAAGCCAACUAGAUUGAGUACGCGACCAUGACUUUCACGGGACUUGGAGUGUGCCUAAAACCUUCUCCUUGAGUCAAAUGAACCUCCUUACCCGAAUUUCUGGUGCAGACUUAGUUUGGAGUCCGAAGUGUUUUAGAAGGAAAAUUAUUUUUGAAAAACCAAACGGUGAUAUGGCACACUGAAAUCAAAUGCCAGGUGGCGACCCUGAGUUAUUUCCUUUUGAACAAAUUUUUGUCACUUUCAAAAUUGAAAACCCUUUUUAAGCCUUUCUAAAAUCUUUUAUUUUAAUUUAAGAGAGUUUAGUAGAGGUUCUGUUCAAAAAAGGGGUGUGACAUCUCUGGCGACUCCGCUGGGGAAUUGUAUGUUCGAGCUAGUACUUGAUCUUGUUGGCUUUUUAGGAUGUUCAGUUGAGGUUUUUAUGUGUUUUGUUUGCUUUAUUUUGUUUAUCAUUUUAUUAUUUGCUAGUUGCUUAUUUGUUUUCAGUUUUUUCUUUAUGUGUUACUGCUUUAUAAAUUAUCAUCAUUUGCAUAACCAUAUGUCCUCUUUCUGCAACAAGUCUCAGAGCACGCGUCGCGUGCACAAACUCUUUGUUGAGACACCCUUAAUUUAGAAGGGGCCGUCGGACGUAUGGAGUGUAUGGAAAGCUUGAGCAGCCACUAUUGACCAUACGCUCCCCCGAAUUUCCUUGUUAGUGAACCCCAAACUUAUGUCAGCCUUAGGUCAUUUUUAUAUGCAUCAUGUCAUUUACACCUAGUAGGGCUCGGUCUCUGGUACUGUGUCCCUUUGUAGGGAGUUUGUCUAAAUUUUGUCAAAAUGAGCUUGUGGCCCAAAAUGGAAUCUAAUCAUCUUAUGUGCUAAAUGUUGCAUCUUUGAGGGUGAAAAGAUUAUUUAGCGGACCUAUGUUUGGGAAAGAAGGGUGAAAAAUGAAGAAAGUAGGGCCCAUUUGCAUUUUUCUUUCAUAGUUUUCCAAAAAUAAAAAAAAUAAGAAAAUCCAAAAAGAUUUUACACUUUUUUAUUAUUUUCUAAAAAUUCAAAAAGAGAAAAAAGAAAAUCCAAAAAGAUUUUACAUUUUCCAUCAUUUCUCAAAAAUACAAAAAAUAUGAUUUUUUUUCAAAUUAGUUGCAUUUUUUAAAGCUUUCUCCCAUGUCUAAUCUUCUCGAACUGAUUCUCGUCUUUUGGGACGAGAUACAUAGGCAACCCACAUAGGGUCCGGUCUUCCUAGUGAACUUUAGGUUCUUGAUUUUGCGGGGUCUUAGCAAUAUCUUGCAUGUUUAGCCACUUGCGGCCACAUCGGCCAUUCUUGCAAAAUGGGGUCAUUUUUGCAAAAGUGGUUCAAUAACUCAUGUCUUAGGAUGUUGAGUCCAUAACUAGGUGUCAUAUUACUUUAAGGUUUGUCCCUUUUUGAGUUUGUAUUUUAGCCACUUUCGGCCACAUAGGCUUAUGCAAAUUAAUUUUGGGUCAUGAUUAUUGUUUAUUAGAAUCCAUAUAAGACUUAGCGAGAUAUUUUCAUGUCUUUGAUUUCACCUUUGUUGAGUUUGCACUUGUAGCCAUUCUUGGCCACGUAGGUUAAUUUUUUAAAAAAUAGCUCAAUCGUAUCUUGCAUGCUUCUAAUAGGAGGUGUUGUGGCAUCGCAUAGUGUCUCGAGUCAUUAAAUCUGUUUGGUCUUAUUUUUUUCAUUCAGGUAUGAAUGCAUUUACCAGAGCUCGAGUAGGACAGAUACCCCAAGACCAUCGCAUUUGGGAAUUUAUUUGAAGAGACCUUUUAUAUUUUGAGUUUGUUUUCAUGUUUUCUUUUACUUUCUUGUAUUGUCUAGUAGUUUUGAGUCUUUUAUCUAGCAUAAGAGUUUGCCGAGUCUUUUGUCAUCGUACUUCCCAUUUGUAUAUGAAAAAUAGUCAUAAAUGAAAAUUCCAAAAGGAUUUUCAUUUUUAGUUUAUUUAUCCAAUACUUUUUCAGAACUAAGCAUGAUCUUAUUCAUGGGGGCCAAUAUUCGUAGGCAACCUACAUAGGGUUCGAUCGAAUCAUUUUUUUUGAAAAAAAAACAAAACAAAAAAAAAGAGAAAAGAAAAAAAGAGAUCAAAUUGUGCAUGUGAGAAAAAAAGAGAGAUAAUCAGAAAAAGGGAGGGAAGAAAAUGAAAAAUCAAGGAGUAUUAAAGAGAAAAAAUGAAGAGGAAAAGGGGCAAGAAGAGUGAAAUUAGGAUGAUGCCAUAUGACAUUCAUACCCUCGAAGCCAUUCUAGAACUGUGAUUUGUUGCUAGGUGCAUUGCACGCAAUGUGAUAUUUCUAUUUGAUAAAUGCCAUAACGCUAACAUGUUGGUUUUGUUUUGCUCCUCUUUGUUACUUCCAUCAUUAUUAUAAUAGAGGGUGGUUAGUUAGUGACACUUUGGUCAUUCGUCCAUACAACACCAAAAAGCACAAGGAGUCAUGGCUAGCAAAGAAACUGACACUAGGAUUGUUGACCUGCCGGGGGAGAUUGUUGAAUCAGAGUUUGAAUUAAAAGACGAGGUCCGAAGGUUGAAACAUCAGAUGGCGGAAAUGUAUCAUCUUUGUUUUGCUCCUCUUUGUUACUUCCAUCGUUAUUAUAACAGACGGUGGUUAGUUUGUGGCACUUUGGUGAUUCGUCCACGCAACACCAGAAAGCACAAGGCAUUCAUGGCCAGCAAAGAAACAGACACACGAGUCCUUGGCCCGUUGAGGGAGAUUGAGAAGUCGGAAUUUGAAUUGAAAGAGGAGGUCCAAAAGUUGAAACAACAGAUGACAGAAAUGUAUUAGUCUUGGAUCAGCGGGCACCUUCCACCUUCAUUCCCUACCAACUAUGCAGAAAACUAUGCCUCCAUUCCACCACUAUCCCAACCCUAGAUUCCCAAUACCGUCGAUCUUUCCUCACAAAACGCACCAGGCUUCACCCCUUACCACAAUUACCAAGGCAUUUCCUCCCAAAUUUUCCAUGCUCCACUAGCCAAAAUAACUGCAUUCCCAGCUCCAGAUACCCAAUACUAUGCCCCGGAACCCACCUUCAAAGUCCCAGAUCCUUACUCAUACACUCCUCGCUUUGAGCCUCCUGUUGAAAAUGAGAAACCACCCAAGAAUGUGGAGAAAGAGGAUAUAUUUAGGAAGGUAAAGAGUCUGGAGCAAUCAUUGAGAAAUAUGCAAGGGUUAGAAAGCUAGGUGAGUGUGCCGUAUAAGGAUUUGUGUUUGUUCCCUGAUGUCCAAAUGCCUGACGGGUUCAAGAUGCCCAAGUUUUACUUGUAUGAUAGACAUGGGGAUCCUGUAACUCAUCUGAGAGGUUGUUGCAGUAAGAUGAGAGGUGCUGGGGGAAAAUACGAAUUAUUGAUGGCGUAUUUCAACCAGAGUCUGAGUGGAGCAGCUCUAGAAUGGUGCACCUGCUAGGACGCCAGCAGGUGGUACACAUGGGAUGAUUUGGCUAAAGCCUUUGCUCGGCAUUUUCAGUAAAACAUAGACAUUGUCCCGGAUCGCUUAUCUCUGACCAAGGUAGAAAAGAAGCCCAGUGAAAUCUUUAGAGAAUAUGGGUUUCGAUGGAGGGAGCAAGCUGCACGAGUCAAUCCUCCAAUGGAAGAAGACGAGAUGGUUAUAUACUUUUUUCAAGCCUUGGAGCCCACUUACUAUGGCCAUUUGAUCUCAAUCAUUGGCAAGCCUUUCAAUGAUGUGGUAAAAAUGGGAGAAAUGGUGGAGAAGGGAUUGAAGUCGAGCAAGAUCAUGUGCUAUUCUUCCUUAAAAGCCACAACACGGUCAAUUCAGAACGAUACAGGAAGCUUGUCGGGUCAGAAGAAACAUGAUGAUAUUGCCAUGGUUGUCUCAGGAUCACGACAUAUCCCAGCAGGUCCGCCUUACCAAUAUACUCAGCCUCGACCCCAACUCCAAACCUAUCCCCGAGCUCCACAUAAUCCACCUCUGUAUUGUCCUCCGAACAACGUCCAGUCAUUUGUUCAACCACUGGGUCACCCCAGAAGGCGAGCACCAGCUCUGCAAAAUCUCCACCAGCCUCCACAAAAUAUUCAGGUGCCCCAUAACCCACAUCCAAGCCAAGGGGACAGAGGUAAACAAAGUUUGAAGGAUAACUUUAUACCGAUAGGAGAGUCAUAUGCAAACUUGUUUGAGAAGCUAAAGAAUUAUGACCUGAUUGCACCUAUUCCUCUGAAUCAUCUGUACAAGCGUACGAGAAGCUUUGACCCUUCUAAAAGGUGUGAAGACCAUUCCAAUGCCCGGGGGCACGAUGUCGAAAGUUGUCCGGGAUUUUAAAGAUAAAUAAAGAGAAUGAUUCAAGAAGGGAUAAUUGUGAUCCAGGAUAGUGACACCUAGAAUCCUUUACCUGCACACGAUGAUGCACACUUUAUGGGGAUGAUGCAUGGUAACACGGAGUAUGAGGAUCCUCUUGGGAACUUGUUGACUGAGGUUAAUGAUAUUGAAAUUGGUGAAGGUCCCAAGAUGUGCAAUUUAGUGGCUAAUAUGUCGAGCUUGGUGAUCGGAAAGACACUCCUUUCUUGGCUAUCCAGGGAGGAGUUUUGGUAGUUUAUGUUGUUUUCAUUUCUCUUAUUUAGGUUAUUUUAGGGUUUUAAUCCGGAUAUUAUCUUGUGAUUCAAACUCUUCUUCUUCUUUUCGCCUUGUUUGUUUUAUUGUAGUAACUAGUCUAGUAUUAUCUAGGAUUGUUCCAAAGUUGUAACCCAUGCCUAUUUUUCUUGUUUUGUUCAAUUCCUGUUCACCAUCUAUCUAAUGCAAUCUCCUAUUUUCUGUUAGUUCUAGUCAGUUUUGUUUAGGUCACUUUUUCUUUUAUAGUUCCUUUCACACUAACUCUAGUGGCACGACAUGCACGCAUAAUUGUCAGCCUGGUCUUGAAAGUUAGUCUAAUCAUGAAGCAAUGAUACAGUUUUGAACAUGAUAAAAAGAGGAAUUUGAGGAAA
rnacentral:lncRNA from 1 species